CAGACAAAACUGAAAAGUGAAAAAGCAGUCGUAAUUCCAGCAAAUCCCACUCCAUAGAAGAAACCCUGGUUAGUAUUUAGUACCCGAUCUUGAGCUCAGAGAUCCCAUCUUUGAAUGCUUUGAAGUAUCUUUUAUUUCUACUCAAUCCGUUGACAAGCUCAAAAGUUUCAGUUGCAGAGGUCAAGAU